UAUCAGAUUCCCAGAAAAACAAACAGAUGUGGCAACGUGAUCUCAGGUUUACAGCAGGACUUUGAUCAGGAAGUUAAUUUUGCUGAGGUGAGCUGAGGUGAGAGGAUUCGUCGACGCAUUAUACUCAGGAUGUUCUGCAGAAUGGAUGGAUUCUUCUUUAAACCAAAGCGCUGUACCUUCAGUGUUUUGGUUUUACAGAACAUUGUGAUGCUCCUUUUGUUGACUGAAUCCUAUAGAGGAGAAUCUCAGGGGGUUGGACCAUCUCAGACAAUAACAGCAUUAGUUGGUGAAGACGUUAUCCUGCCAUGCCAACUUGAACCUGCAGUAGAUGCUGUUUCCAAGAUUGUGGAGUGGGGAAGACCUGAUCUAGAACCAAGAUUUGUCCAUGACAUGAAGGUCAAAACCUUUUGGACAACCAGAAUCCAUCAUACAAAGGAAGAACAUCAGUGUCUGUGGACAAACUGAGACAUGGAGACCUUUCCCUGAAACUGUCUGCAGUGAGACUCUCUGAUAAUGGAGUCUAUAGAUGCUACUUUCCCUCACAGAAGAAACAGUCUACUGUUGAGCUUGUUGUUGGUAAGUUAUGUAUAUGUGGUAAAAACAUUCCGACAUAACUCAGAUUCAAGGGCCUCCAAUAGAGCUGUACCUUCACAUGUUUGUAUCCAUUAGACAUGAAACUCCCAUAUAAUAGUGAGAAGCUUGCAUUGAGUGUCUUUUAGUUUUAUAGUCU